CGCCUACUAGCUAGCCCCUCAAUCAAAACUAACAAACCCCUAUAAAUUAAAUCCUAACUCCACUACAAUCUAAACAAACAAACCAUUUUUCCCCCUUAGUAUGGGCGACAGAAAAGGGC
rnacentral:rRNA from 1 species